rnacentral:rRNA from 1 species
UACAGAGACCCCGAGCGUUAUCCGGAAUUACUGGGCAUAAAGAGCGAAAAGCCGGUCGCAUUAGUCCGUUGUCAAACCAUGGGGCCCAACCCCAUGCCUGCAUCGGAAACGGUGUGACUAGAGCAGAUGAGAGGGGAGCAGAACGUACGGUGUAGGGGUGAAAUCCACUGAUAUCGUACGGAAUACCAAAAGCGAAGGCAGCUCCCUAGCGUCUUGCUGACGGUGCAUCGCGAAAGCGUGGGGAUCAAAAAGG